UCUUCUUUUCCUUUCAGCUUAACCUGUUGAUGAUCAAGAUUUCAAGUCCAACAAAAAAGAUCAAAAAAAAAAAAAGAAGAAGAAGAAGAAGAGAGAGACGAGUUAAUGCACAAGAUUUUAGUGAAAGAGUACUAGCUAGGAAAGAAGGGAAGUAGACGGAGAGUACAAAUUACUACCUCUUUCGAGAUUUCCAAGGAAGCCAUUGAUGAUAGACUCAAAAGGUUACUUCAAAGGGGAGAAGUUUUAUGGUGGAAAUGAAGAAAGCAAACUGGUUGAGAGUUAAAAUGAGUAACUAAAAGUGAGUGAACAUCUGUAUUUAUAGAGAGGUUUUAGACACUGAGGGUCAUUUGGCAGCUGGUUAGAGUAUGUAUUAUUUUAAGUAGGGAUUAGUUACGCAGGGUUUAGUUAUUCAUGUAUUAGUUAUUUCACCUUCGAUCCUGUAUAAAUAAUAUAUAGAUUUCCUCAUAA